UACGUAGGUGGCAAGCGUUGUCCGGAUUUAUUGGGCGUAAAGCGCGCGCAGGUGGUUUCUUAAGUCUGAUGUGAAAUCUCGCGGCUCAACCGCGAGCGGUCAUUGGAAACUGGGGAACUUGAGUGCAGAAGAGGAUAGUGGAAUUCCAAAUGUAGCGGUGAAAUGCGUAGAGAUUUGGAGGAACACCAGUGGCGAAGGCGACUGUCUGGUCUGUAACUGACACUGAGGCGCGAAAGCGUGGGGAGCAAACAGG
rnacentral:rRNA from 1 species